CAGCAGCCGCCACGGGAAUACAGAGGGUGCGAGCGUUAAUCGGAUUUACUGGGCGUAAAGCGUGCGUAGGCGGCUUCUUAAGUCGGAUGUGAAAUCCCUGAGCUUAACUUAGGAAUUGCAUUCGAUACUGGGAAGCUAGAGUAUGGGAGAGGAUGGUAGAAUUCCAGGUGUAGCGGUGAAAUGCGUAGAGAUCUGGAGGAAUACCGAUGGCGAAGGCAGCCAUCUGGCCUAAUACUGACGCUGAGGUACGAAAGCAUGGGGAGCAAACAGGAUUAGAUACCCCGGUAGUCCCUGUCUCUUAUAC
rnacentral:rRNA from 1 species